CCAAUAGCGUAUAUUAAAGUUGUUGCAGUUAAAAAGCUCGUAGUUGAAUUUCGGGGUCAGUAAGUUGGUCAUGCCCACGGUAUGUACUGACUUUACUGAUUCCUCCUUCUUGAUGAACUGCAAUGUCAUUAAUUUGGUGUUGUAGGGAAUCAGGACUGUUA
rnacentral:rRNA from 1 species